rnacentral:tRNA from 1 species
CCGUGCGUUGGCUAGUCUGGUUAAGCCACUGGUCUUGGGGUCCAGUUUACGAGGGUUCGAAUCCUUCCGCACGGA